CUCUUGGAGGUCGGUGGAGAGUCCUUGUGAUAUCUGCCAGUGUUUGGACGGUUAUGUUCGCUGUGAGAGGGAGCAGUGUUACACUCCCUGUAGAAACCCUGCUGCUCCUCCUCCAAAUACCUGCUGUCCAGUCUGUGAAGGCUGUGAUGUGAAUGGACAUGAAGUCCCUAAUGGAGCUGUGAUCCCUGUUGGAGACCCCUGUGAAGAGUGUAGAUGUGAG